rnacentral:lncRNA from 1 species
CAAGAGGCUACAUGAAGGGAAUUAUUUUGUUUGUCUUGACGGAGUGGGCGAACUAGAGAAAAUGGUGACAAGAGACGGAAAUCUAUCUUAGAGUUUGUGUGGAUCACAGCCAUAAAACAGGGAAAAGGAAAAGCCACAGCAGCAUUCUCCAGUGAGGAAGACAAGGCAGACUCUCCAUCUGGAAGGCGAUCCUGCCUCAUCCCACAAGGCACCAGUGCACACUGCUGCACAGUCCACGUUAUCUGCUGUGGCUGCCGAACUAUCCAGUCUGUGGGGGUCACUGUGCAUCAACCUCAGCACUCAGGACACAAACUGUAGAUGCCUCAACCAGAGCACAGUCAGACGCACCAUCUCCUGAAGCCAGCUCCAAGUGUCAGAGUUCAUUCCGUGAUCAAACAAGAAGUUUCUCUAUGGAGUCCUGACAAAUGCUGCUCAACUACACAGUGUAGUCAAGAGGUUUGGCUGAUACAAACAGGCCCGAGAGAUGAGGACUGAAACAAGAAGCACACAGAGCGGUCAGCACCCGAGAGCUGCCUAGUACACGGCAAAGGCAGGACGAGAAGAAAGCAGCCUUCCCGUUGUCUCAGUGCUCCGCCAGGACAAAGCAGCCCAGCAAAGCGGGAAGUACAUCUGCCAGUGAGACACUUGGGGCGGUGCUUUCUGCUCGAUCAGAAAUAGCUGUGGACAACUAGACAGCUGGUUGUGCAAAACAGAGAGAAGCUCUAGUCCUAACAGUCCCCAAGGCUCAGAGCAGUGUGAUGUGGGAGAGCGCCUGGCUCAAGGUCCUGCAGACAGAGCUUAAGAACGACAGAACAAAUGCAGAGAAACAAGGAAUUACAGUAUACUGUGACCAGUGUUAUAGCAGGGCAAGCUCAUUCUGCUUACAGAAAAGAGAAUUCAAAAGGUUCCAGGCUUCCUUGAGAAACUGAAACAGAGGGCUAAGGAGACAGCCAUGCAGAGCGCGUGGGAGGCGUGCCGGAGAGCUGAAACGGUGCCAUUGUAGACCCAAGGGAGAGCACAAGGCCCUCACUGACGGACGGACGGACCCAGUGCGGAGCCGAAAACAGGACUGAAGAGACAUUUCACCCUGCGUUCCCCUUCUCUGGGAUCUUGCAAAUGCUCUCAGUUCUUUUCUCUAGUCCACAUGUGUGCUUGUUAUGUUUGAUGUGGAAUCAGGGGAUUUGAAACUAAUUACAGCUCUAACCUUGUGGUUAAACACACAUUAGAAUUUUAAGACUGGAAUCACGACAUAAACCAGAGGGAGAAUGGAUCUGUUGCAAAAGCAAGAUAUC